rnacentral:rRNA from 1 species
GACGAACGUUGGCGGCGUGCUUAAUACAUGCAAGUCAACUGAAGCAGUGGUAGCAAUAUCGCUGUGGAGGUGGCGCACGGGUGAGUAACACGUAGGUAAUCUGCCUUCAGGUCUGGCAUAACUCCGGGAAACCGGGGCUAAUAGCAGAUGAUGCAGCGGCUCGACAUCGAGACAGUUGUUAAAGCUAUGGCGCCUGAAGAUGAGCCUGCGUCUGAUUAGCUAGUUGGCGGGGUAACGGCCCACCAAGGCAACGAUCAGUAGCUGGUCUGAGAGGAUGAUCAGCCACACUGGAACUGAGACACGGUCCAGACUCCUACGGGAGGCAGCAGUAAGGAAUAUUGCUCAAUGGGAGAAAUCCUGAAGCAGCAACGCCGCGUGAGGGACGAAGGGCUUUUGCUUGUAAACCUCUGUAGUGAGAGAAAAAAAUCCCAAUCUUUGGGACAUGAUGGUAUCUCAAAAGUAAGCCCCGGCCAACUACGUG